UACGUAGGGGGCAAGCGUUGUCCGGAAUUAUUGGGCGUAAAGAGCGCGUAGGCGGUCUGAUAAGUCGGUUGUGAAAGUCGGGGGCUCAACCCUCGGAUGCCGAUCGAUACUGUCAGGCUAGAGUCCGGAAGAGGCGAGUGGAAUUCCUGGUGUAGCGGUGAAAUGCGCAGAUAUCAGGAGGAACACCGGUGGCGAAGGCGGGUCUCUGGGCCGAUACUGACGCUGAGGAGCGAAAGCGUGGGGAGCGAACAGG
rnacentral:rRNA from 1 species